GAUGAACGCUGGCGGCGUGCCUAAUACAUGCAAGUCGAGCGAACAGACGAGGAGCUUGCUCCUUUGACGUUAGCGGCGGACGGGUGAGUAACACGUAGGUAACCUACCUAUAAGACUGGGAUAAUUUCGGGAAACCGGAGCUAAUACCGGAUAAUAUUUCGUACCGCAUGGUUCGAUAGUGAAAGAUGGCUUUGCUAUCACUUAUAGAUGGACCUGCGCCGUAUUAGCUAGUUGGUAAGGUAACGGCUUACCAAGGCAACGAUACGUAGCCGACCUGAGAGGGUGAUCGGCCACACUGGAACUGAGACACGGUCCAGACUCCUACGGGAGGCAGCAGUAGGGAAUCUUCCGCAAUGGGCGAAAGCCUGACGGAGCAACGCCGCGUGAGUGAUGAAGGUCUUCGGAUCGUAAAACUCUGUUAUUAGGGAAGAACAAACGUGUAAGUAACUGUGCACGUCUUGACGGUACCUAAUCAGAAAGCCACGGCUAACUACGUG
rnacentral:rRNA from 1 species